rnacentral:tRNA from 1 species
UACUCGGAGGUUCGAAUCCUUCCGUCCCAGA